GAUGUCGGCUCAUCUCAUCCUGGGGCUGAAGCAGGUCCCAAGGGUAUGGCUGUUCGCCAUUUAAAGAGGUACGCGAGCUGGGUUUAGAACGUCGUGAGACAGUUCGGUCCCUAUCUACCGUGGGCGCUGGAAAUUUGAGAGGAUCUGCUCCUAGUACGAGAGGACCAGAGUGGACGAACCUCUGGUGUACCGGUUGUGACGCCAGUCGCAUCGCCGGGCAGCUAUGUUCGGAAGGGAUAACCGCUGAAAGCAUCUAA
rnacentral:rRNA from 1 species